UACGGAGGGUGCAAGCGUUAAUCGGAAUUACUGGGCGUAAAGCGUGCGUAGACGGUUAUUUAAGUCAGGUGUGAAAGCCCCGGGCUCAACCUGGGAAUUGCAUUUGAGACUGAAUAGCUAGGGUGCGGAAGAGGGAAGCGGAAUUUCCGGUGUAGCGGUGAAAUGCGUAGAUAUCGGAAGGAACACCAGUGGCGAAAAGCGGCUUCCUGGUCCAGCACCGACGUCAGGCACGAAAGCGUGGGGGAGCAAACAGG
rnacentral:rRNA from 1 species